UCAUAAGGAUGGGGAGUACAACAAUAGAAUUUAACAAAAACACAAAUUAAAAAAAAAUUUUUAAAAAAAUUGUUCUUAAGCUAAAAGUGAUUGUGAUUUUAGAAAAAACAUACGAAAAUCUAAAAUGUAUCGUUGCAUUCCCCCUUUUUGUCGCAUACACGGACAUUUACUGUGCAUAAUAAAACGCACCUACACACUGAAAAAUAUUUCCUAACACGCCGACAUGUAUAUUACGAAAAACUCGUACUGAUAUUCACACACUUAAAUAUGUGCACAAACGUGUUAACCAACACUACGAUGUAAUGACAACUUAAAAGCCAUAAAUUCAACACAAGCUUAUUACACAUAGGUAUUGUCCAACACUUAAUAAAAAAAAUAGAUGUUAAAAUUCACUCUAAGCUACGCACACUGUCGUACUGCGCAACACUACAAUGUAUAAAUGUAAAUGUAACUAUUCACAUACUCGUACUAUCCAACACUGUGAGGUAGGCUGACUCGGAAACACACACUUAUAUUGACCAAUACAACGACUUAUACACAACUCGCUGCACGAAUUGAUAUUCACACCGAACUAUGCACCAUAACCUAUUGCCUAACACUACGACGUUUAACACUAGCACCGCGCACUAACUAGACGAGAUGCCUGGACUGUAUCUAUGGCACCACAAUGGACCUACGAUCGAGCGGACUGCAUUAUUAAAACUAAGUUUGCACCAUUAAAGCUUGAUAUGAAUAUGCAAAUUAGAAUUUCUGCUGGUAACGCAAAGUACUCUAUUGAAGGUUUCCAAAUUUUGCUAUGUUUAAGCAAAUAUGUAUACAAAAUUAUUAAAAGUAAUACAAGAAGUAGUUUGAUAUCAUUUACAUUAACAUACGAUGCACCUCAAAUAAUCGACCACAACUGAAUCCCAAGAGAUCUGCUUAGAGGGUAUGUUCCGGUCGCUCACUCCAGCAACACCCGACUGGUAUUUUGAUUUGGUCAUUGCAUUCAAAUAAAAUAUCAAGUUGCCAUCGCGCACGACGUCUGCUGCUGGCCGACUUUUUUGCGAUUUUCAAUCUGGCCGCCGUAAUGCCAACUGUCAAAUGUGAGAUAGAGAAAACAAGCGGCAAGCAAAUCCAGAGACAGAAAACCGCAUUGCGAAUUUUGUCCAGGAGCCCCCCUUCAUAAACUUUUAAACCAACAAAACUUG